rnacentral:rRNA from 1 species
CCUACGGGAGGCAGCAGUGGGGAAUAUUGCACAAUGGGGGAAACCCUGAUGCAGCAACGCCGCGUGAGUGAGGAAGUAUUUCGGUAUGUAAAGCUAUAUCAGCAGGGAAUAGAAAAGAAGGUACCUGACAACGAAGCCCCGGCUAACUACGUGCCAGCAGCCGCGGUAAUACGUAGGGGGCAAGCGUUAUCCGGAUUUACUGGGUGGAAAGGGAGCGUAGGCGGAAAGGCAAGUCAGAAGUGAAAACCCAAGGCUCAACCAUGGGACUGCUUUUGAAACUGUCAAACUAGAGUACGGGAGAGGUAAGAGGAAUUCCUAGUGUAGCGGUGAAAUGCGUAGAUAUUAGGAGGAACCCCAGUGGCGAAGGCGUCUUACUGGACCGAAACUGACGUUGAGGCUCGAAAGCGUGGGGAGCAAACAGGAUUAGAUACCCUAGUAGUC